rnacentral:lncRNA from 1 species
UUUUCUGAAGUGGUGUAGGAGCUGGCGGUUCUGUGCCUCUGCUGAGAGCCGAGAAAAGUACUCGCGCAAGCUUGGAGGCCAAGCUAUGGUCCUUCCCAAACUCCUGGGGUCGCAAGUUUCACUCACCGUGAACUUACCCUGCCGGCAACCACUGACUGCUGAAAGUUCUGAACUCGGUGGGGGAGUCGGUUCCCCGUACGGGCCACCAAUUGUCGCGUCCGCUCUCAACCAGCAAGAAUGAUGCGACCACCAGUCCUUCUAACAGCAGUUUAUUCAGUCUUCAUCUUUCUUCUUUCUCUUCAUCAAUACCGUUCCCCAGCUGAAGAGUUCUGAAUCCACGCCGGAUCCUUCUCAACAGUCUGUUUUACAGGAACCUUUAUUAACCACUCCUUCCCCGUGAUGCAGUUCUGAAUCCUCCCUGUAGCAGGGGGUCUUCGCUCGUGCCUGAAGAUGUUUCUUGUCCCGGGUUUCGGCACCACUUCUCGAGCGCGCCCCCAACUCGCCAGCAAGAACGACGCCACAGCAGGAUCCUUCUGCACACGUUUAUUCAGUCCUGUUUCUUCUUGUUUAUAUCUCCCCUGUUUAUAUCUCUCCCUUGUUUAUAUCUCCCCCCGAACCCUGGGCCUCUCACUCCUUUUAUACUCUCUCUCAUCCACGCACCGCAGGCCACACCCCCUCGCCAGUCAAGAGGCUUCAGCUAAUCAGGGCAGCAGGGACAAAUCUCCACCAAAUUGGAUUCACCUGUAUCCUGGUACACCUGCGCAGCACUCAAGAUGUUUGUGUCUUAUAUGAGGAAGUCAGGUGCAAGUCAUAUGACUUAGCUGCAGUCCCUGGCGCCUUUGGGACUGCCGCCACACCCGCUCCCCACACCCAGCAAUUGGCUUCUGCCUUCUUUAGUGACCAAACCAAGAACCAAUUAGGGAACCAGAUUUUAGUAUCAGUUCCUUCCCCUAGCAAUUGUGUUAUCUGGUAAGUUUUAAAAUAAUAAAGCAGUCUAGAGUGGGUUUUUUUUUUCUUUUUUUUCCUUUGAAUUUUUUGAGACAGGGUUUCUCUGUGUAUCCUUGGCUGUCCUGGAACUCACUCUAUAGACCAGGCUGGCCUCCAACUCAGAAAUUCACCUGCCUCUGCCUCCCAAGUGCUGGGAUUAAAGGCAUGCCCACCAUGCCCUGCUGAGUUUUUCUUAAGGUGGGCAGGAGAAGACUGGGUGGCUUGGCAAAGCUAGCUGGGAGGAAGAGAUAGCCAGUGCCAGGCUGGAGGAAGCAUGGUCUCUGAGCUAAGCUGGGACCACAGCUCUGGGAAAAGGAGGAAGCAUGCAUUUUAAAAAUUAUGUGCAACAAUGGCUGGUGACAUAUUUCUCUGGCUGUUAAUUGUAUUGUUACACUGAUAUUUAGGCAUCUGGGUUUUUGGGUGAUUAUUGAUUUAGGUGUUCAUUUAAGGAUUUUUUUCAGUGUUGGAUAGGUAUUUUAUCUGUUUCUCUUGUUCUCUGACCUAUGUGGUCUAUAUUUGAGCAUGAGGUUUUGACCCAAGUUGAGGACAGGAGUUCUGUGUGGCCUCUAGUCCAAAAGGGUAUCUCCCACCUGUGUUAGAGUCUGGACAUUUCAGGACUCAGGUUCAGCAAGUACUGUCUGUCCAAGUUAAGGGCCCUGAGGUGGUGGAACAGGGGGCAGAGGUAUGGGGUUAGGGUGGGUAGGCUGUCUGGUUUUCUAGCAGCUGAAGACUGUGGUUAGGAAGAGAGUUGGUGAAGUCUUCAAGGGGAUGGCUAACCUUUAUUUAACGAAGAAUCAUCAGAAGUUGAGUAAUAUUGAUCAAAGUCAUUUUUCCUGCAUGAGUUUCCUUAGUUCUUUUAAUUAAAACUUGACUGUAUUUUUCUGCUUUUGUUCAUGGCUUUUUCUCUCCAUCCUUUUAUUCUUUCACAAAUAUUGUAUAAUUCUUGAUUGUUGUAUCUCUGUCAUAAGUAUAGAAAUCACAUUGAUACAAUGUGUAUACUAUUUCUUUAUAAGCAUAUUGAGCAUUAUGUUUUCUACUUUGCAUGUAGCUUUGACAUCAGCUUUCUUACUACAAGUUGUUUGGAAUUUCUUUGUAUUGUAUUCAAUUUAUGUGGUAAAUAUGCUACAUCUUAAUCAUGAUGUCAUUAAUAAAAUAUAACC